GACGGGGGAUGCAAGUGUUAUCCGGAAUCACUGGGCGUAAAGCGUCUGCAGGUGGUUUCCUAAGUCCACUGUUAAACCUUGAGGCUCAACCUCAAAUCUGCAUUGGAAACUAGGAGACUUGAGUAUAGUAGGGGUAGAGGGAAUUUCCAGUGGAGCGGUGAAAUGCGUAGAUAUUGGAAAGAACACCGAUGGCGAAGGCACUCUACUGGGCUAUUACUGACACUCAGAGACGAAAGCCAGGGGAGCAAACGGG
rnacentral:rRNA from 1 species